AUUAAAUUAUGGGUGGAAAGUUACCACAAGAUAUUCUAUGAACAUAGUACAAUGUCUUCCUGGAGGGGUAAAAUUUUCCAUUACAAGAUUUUAAGAGAGGCCAUUUAUUGUACUGUUCAAUUUGCGUUCAUUUUCAAAUUUGCCGCGCGAGUAUCUAUGUAGCGUCUCGUGGUCAUUGGUCAUCACAUUUCAUUUUCAUAACAUAACCGAUAACCUAAAAAUUUAGUAAAAAAGUAAAAAUUUUGAUUGGAAAAAAAUGCAUCGAUAAGGGGGUGUGGGAAAUGGAAAUUAGUGGCUUUUUUGCUGUACUGUCUGCUAGUUUUUGCUCUGGGCUCUGGAUAGAUCUCUUGUUUAAACAAUUUUAAUCAGCUGAAAGUGGCCUACAAAAAAAAACCAAGAAGGAAAUGUAUAGCCUUGUGGCUAUGAAAGGCAAAAGAGAGAUAUAAAAAGUGUAUUGGCUAGUUGGAAGAAAGUCCACAUUGUCCAUGCAUAAUAAGUUAUUACUUUAUCAACAAAUAUCAAGAAGAUAGCAGGGUCACGAGCAUCAACUUCAUAGGUUCAAGAAUAUCGAGGAAAUCCAGCUCCUCGAUACUACUGGGCAAACUAGAAGAUUGAAGAGGACAAAUCCUUUUGAACUAGUUUGAGUGAUAGGUGAUAGUGAAAAACGGGGCAUAGUGCUUGUGUGCUGUGCCUGUGUAUGUUAGAAUAGUGCACGAUCUUGUUAGAUUAGAUAAGAGACGCUAUGGGGUAAGCUCUUCAUUUUAAGAAACAGUAGUAAUUUAGGUUAAAUUAAAAUUGCUCAUUGGUCAGUUAUGACCAGAUUUUUUUUUUUGUGUUUGGCAAAAAGGACUUAAGUCAGAAUUGCACAUUGAUGUUUUGAUGAUUUCUGGACCAGAAAAAAACUGUUGUAGAUGUAAACUGUAUGUACAGUAGAAUCUACUACAGUACUGUAGAAAUCAUCAAAACAUUAUCGAUGUGCAAUUCUGACUUAAGCCCUUUUUCCCAAACAUCAGAGAAUUGUAAUGUACAAUAAUUCUCCUAUCUGCUUUUUCAUGAAUUUUGUAGGAGACGAAAAACCAUUUUUAGGAUCAUCUGCUUUCACAUGUAAAUUUUGACAUGUUUUGUAGUAAAUAGAUAGUUGAAUUUACUACAAAACAUGUCAAAAAAUAUAUGAAAACAGGAGGUGACUAUAAAAAAAGUUUUUAGUCUCUCUUACAAAACUCAUGAAAAAACAAAUCGGAGGUAUGUCACAUCAGUGACUAAGAAUGUCUAAAAAAUAUACUUUGAUGUCCCAAGAACCAAAUAUAACCUACAGUCCAUCUAAUUUACUUACGGUUGCACGUCAUUAUCUACGCCAGAGAUCUAAGUUGACAUAGUUGCCAAAGUAUAAAAAGAUCCUGAAUCCAUUUUAAAUCAAAUAUGUCACAUAAUUAUUGUAAACGUGGAUUAUACAACAAAACAAAUUAAUAUUCAAUGUAAAUAAGUAAAAACUUAAGAAAUAGAGAACAAGAAUUAAGUUAUAAUCUUUUAAGAUUUGCAGUGCAAGAGUUUUUGCACUGCAUUGUUAAUAAUUAAAAAACGGCUCCGAACUCUUGGCAAAAAGCCGGUAGGUUUCUUUGUAUAAGUAUGUCUACAAUAACAACUAAAAAAGUUGUCAGAUACCUCGAUUAUUCCAAGUCGUUAUAAAAUUAGGUGAAAUUUAUAUUUUUAUAGUAGAGGAUCUUUUUAUAGUAAAGUAAAUAAUAAAAACAGUAAAUAUAAUAAAUAAAACAGAUACUUAUAAUAAAGAAUAUAAACAAAUAUGAAGUGUCAUCACCGUAACUGUCAAAUAAAUGUUACCAAUUUAUUCUAAAAUGUCACCUUCGUUUGAUUACAGUUACAGUGUGAUCCGAACAAAUCUGCUUCAUAAAAACGCUUUAUAAUCCAUUUAUACAAAUUAAAUGAAACAUAUUAUUGUGUAUUUCUUUAGGUUAACAUUAAUAGAAAUCUUCAAAUAUUAUUUCUACGCGUAUAUAAUAAAAUAUGUCUAGUGGCUGUAAUUCCAGUGUACUCGGCAAAGUGAUUCUAGAAAAGAACACACCUACCGCCUAAAUAUUUCGUGUUGGUAUCAUGCAACCUCACAGGCUACGACGCGGAUGACGCGCAACAGUUAGUAAAUUAGACGAAGUAUGUAGAUAUAUACAGGGUGUAACAAAAAUACAGGUCAUAAAUUUAAUCACAUAUUCUGGGACCAAAAAUAGUUUGAUUGGACCUAACUUACCUUAGUACAAAUGUGCACACAAGAAAAGUUACAGCCCUUUGAAGUUAUAUAUAUAUAUAUAUAUAUAUAUAUAUAUAUAUAUAUAUAUAUAUAUAUAUAUAUAUAUAUAUAUAUAUAUAAUAGCACCAAGGGUCUUAGAGGCCCAUGGCUUGAAAAGUUUGUUUUUUUUCUUCAUUUUCACGUUUCUUUAUGUACUGAGAUCUUCUCUGGCUUGAUAUGUGAUUUUUCUCCAUUCCUUCCUGUUAUUCAUUUUUCUUUUCUGACCCUGUAGCACCAUUCUUUCCAAAUCUUUUUCGACCUCUUGCUUCCAUCUAUUUUUCGGCCUUCCUCUUCUCUUUCUUGAAGCUGUAGUGUAGUUUAGUACCAUUUUUGGAGUCCUCGUGUUUGGCAUCCUUUCAAUGUGACCUCGCCAUCUAAGUCUCUGUGCCUUUAUCAUUCAUUUGAAGUUACAAGAUGAAGUGAUUUUUUCCAAUAUAUCGAAAACUAUUAGAGAUUUUUUAUUGAAAAUGGACAUGUGGCAUUAUUAUGGCAGCA